UCCCUUGCUUUAGCUAACCGGAAUAACUUCCUGUCCCCGCCUCUCUCCCCUAGUUCCUCGUAUAUGCGGCCAAACGCCGCGUUUUUAGCUUCCGAACCGCCAGCUUUGCUUCUUUCCUCUCCACCUUGUAGAUCUCCCUGUUCGCUCUCCGUCCUUCCUUGCUUGUGCUCCCUGCAACCUUAGCAAACGACGUCUUCUUCACCUCCACUUUUCCUUCGACUACAUCGUUCCACUACCGGUCACCCUGAUGUCUGCCUGAAUAGCCGUUGGCUACCCCGAGCACGUCCGUGCUACCUCCCUAACCAAGUUCGCCGUCUCUGACCACAUAACGUCCGCUGCCCCAGAACUUCUCCAAGCUCCGCCCUCAGCUAACCUCCUCUCCAACUCCUGUG
rnacentral:lncRNA from 1 species